CUAAAAAGGGUGAGAUUCCCUUUCGCUGUAAGACUAAGGUUUCCCGGGCAAUGUCAAUCAGCCCGGGGUCAGUCGGGUCCUAAGCCUCAGCCGAACGGCGAGGGCGAUGGCAGAUACGGUUAAUAUUCCGUGACUACCUUAAGGAGCGAUGUGGAGACGGAGUCGUGAAACUUCCGCGGACCGACGGAAUGGUCCGUUAAAGAGUGUAGAUGUUGAAUCCGGCAGGCAAAUCCGCCGGACGAGUCGAACUUGACAGUACAGGCUACCCUUCGGGGCGGCUUGACAGUGAAGGUAAGCAUACUCCCGAGAAAAUCCGCUAAGCAUAUCCUUGAGGUACCCGUACCGCAAACGGACACACGUAGUCGGGUAGAACAUACUAAGGCGUUGAGAGAUUCAUGGUUAAGGAACUAGGCAAACUGACCCCGUAACUUCGGGAUAAGGGGUCCUCGUCGCAAGGCGAGGCGCAGAGAAUAGGUCCAGGCAACUGUUUAACAAAAACACAGGGCUGUGCUAACUCGAAAGAUGAAGUAUACAGCCUGACACCUGCCCGGUGCCGGAAGGUUAAGAGGAGAUGUCACCGUAAGGGAAGCAUUGAAUUGAAGCCCCGGUAAACGGCGGCCGUAACGAUAACGGUCCUAAGGUAGCGAAAUUCCUUGUCGGGUAAGUUCCGACCUGCACGAAUGGUGUAAUGAUCCGGACGCUGUCUCAACCAUGAGCUCAGUGAAAUUGUAGUAUCGGUGAAGAUGCCGAUUACCCGCGAUGGGACGAAAAGACCCCGUGAACCUUUACUACAGCUUAGCAUCGACCUUGGUCAUCCGAUGUGUAGGAUAGGCCGGAGGCUUCGAAGCGGGUGCGCCAGCAUUCGUGGAGCCAUCCUUGAAAUACGGCCCUUUGUAUGUCUGAGGUCUAACGCGCUUUGCGCGGACACUGUUUGGUGGGUAGUUUGACUGGGGUGGUCGCCUCCAAAAGCGUAACGGAGGCUUCCAAAGGUGCCCUCGGGCCGAUUGGUAACCGGCCUUAUAGAGUGCAAUGGCAUAAGGGCGCUUGACUGGGAGGCAGACAUGCCGAGCAGGCAGGAAACUGGGGCAUAGUGAUCCGGCGGAUGUGUAUGGAAACUCCGUCGCUCAAAGGAUAAAAGGUACUCCGGGGAUAACAGGCUGAUCCCCCCCAAGAGCUCAUAUCGACGGGGUGGUUUGGCACCUCGAUGUCGCUCGUCACAUCCUGGGGCUGGAGAAGGUCCCAAGGGUUGGGCUGUUCGCCCAUUAAAGUGGCACGCGAGCUGGGUUCAGAACGUCGUGAGACAGUUCGGUCUCUAUCUAUCGUGGGCGUUGGAGUUUUGCGUGGUGCCGUCACUAGUACGAGAGGACCGUGAUGGACAGACCUCCGGUUUACCAGUUGUGCCGCCAGGUGCACCGCUGGGUAUCUGAGUCUGGAAUGGAUAAGCGCUGAAAGCAUCUAAGUGCGAAGCCAGCCGCAAGAUGAGAGCUCCUCAUAAGGGUCGUUGUAGACGACAACGUUGAUAGGGUGCAGGUGUAAAGACGGUGACGUCAAAGCCGAGCACUACUAAUUGCCC
rnacentral:rRNA from 1 species